UACAGAGGUCUCAAGCGUUGUUCGGAUUCAUUGGGCGUAAAGCGCGUGUAGGCGGCGUGACAAGUCGGGUGUGAAAGCCCUCAGCUCAACUGAGGAAGUGCGCCCGAAACUGUCGUGCUUGAGUGCCGGAGAGGGUGGCGGAAUUCCCCAAGUAGAGGUGAAAUUCGUAGAUAUGGGGAGGAACACCGGUGGCGAAGGCGGCCACCUGGACGGUAACUGACGCUGAGACGCGAAAGCGUGGGGAGCAAACAGG
rnacentral:rRNA from 1 species